GACGAACGCUGGCGGCGUGCCUAAUGCAUGCAAGUCGAACGAGAGCGACCGGUGCUUGCACUGGUCAAUCUAGUGGCGAACGGGUGAGUAACACGUGGGUAACCUGCCCAUCAGAGGGGGAUAACAUCCGGAAACGGAUGCUAAAACCGCAUAGGUCUUCGAGCCGCAUGGCUUGAAGAGGAAAAGAGGCGCAAGCUUCUGCUGAUGGAUGGACCCGCGGUGCAUUAGCUAGUUGGUGAGGUAACGGCUCACCAAGGCCGUGAUGCAUAGCCGACCUGAGAGGGUGAUCGGCCACAUUGGGACUGAGACACGGCCCAAACUCCUACGGGAGGCAGCAGUAGGGAAUCUUCCGCAAUGGACGCAAGUCUGACGGAGCAACGCCGCGUGAGUGAAGAAGGUUUUCGGAUCGUAAAACUCUGUUGUUAGAGAAGAACAAGUGCUAGAGUAACUGUUAGCGCCUUGACGGUAUCUAACCAGAAAGCCACGGCUAACUACGUG
rnacentral:rRNA from 1 species